rnacentral:snRNA from 1 species
GUGCUCGCUUCGGCAGCACAUAUACUAAAAUUGGAACGGUACAGAGAAGAUUAGCAUGACCCCUGCACAAGAAUGACACACAAAUUCGUGAAGCGUUCCGUAUUAUU